rnacentral:lncRNA from 1 species
UUUUGCUGAAGGAGAUUUUGCAGUACUAUGCCACAAUCAAUUCAGAGAAGUUUAGUUUGAGCAGUGCUUUGGGGUGUGAAGAAGGCUUGGAGUCCAUUCAUAUAGAAGCUUCAUGAAAGCAGGGCCCAGGCAAGAGGGUCUCAACCAGGAGCAAUUUUGCUGUUUCUCUCCAGAGGACACUUGGCAAUGUCUGGGGACAGUUUUGGUUGUCACAACUGGAGACAGGGUGAUGCUAUUUGGCAUCUUGUGGGAGGAAGGCAAGGAUGCUGCUAAGCAUGCCACAAAGCACAGGACAGCUGCCCACAACAAAGGAUGAUUUGCCUGAAAUGUCAAUGUGAAGAGGCUGACAAUCUCUAGUCUAAGGUGUAUCAGUAGUACCUAAAAUAACGCCUGGGGCCAGGAGCGGUGGCUCACGCCUAUAAUCCCAACACUCUGGGAGGCCAAGGCAGGUGGAUCACCUGAGGUCAGGAGUUCGAGACCAGCCUGACCAACAUGAAGAAACCCCGUCUCUACUAAAAAUACAAAAUUAGCCGGACAUGGUGGCACAUGGCUGUAAUCCCAGCUACUCGGGAGGCUGAGGCUGGGGAAUCGCUUGAACCCGGGAGGUGAAGGUUGCAGUGAGCCAAGAUGAUGCCAUUACACUCCAGCCUGGGCAGCAAGAGCGAAACUCCACCUCAAAAAACAAAACCAACAAACAAAAACAAUGCCUGGAA